GGGUCAGGGGUGCUGCCGAACAGGUUCGUGUGCACCCGGCACGGGCCCGCAGAGCCCAACCAGCCAGCGCCGUGCACCACCUAGGGGUUUUUAGGGUUUAGGGUUUUGGUUUUUUUUUGGAUAACUGUCUUGGGCUAAACUUUUCAGCAGGUCAGCCAUCCCAAUACUUCACACACCCAAGCACUUUGGUGCCUCUCAGGCACAUUCUUCGGAGAUAGAUGCUACUAGUGCCUCUCGACAUGGUGGCAGGGGUGUGUUUUGGCACGUUCUUCGAAGCUGGGGGCAUCUUGGCAUGGUGAGAUGGAUGCCACAUAUGUCUCGACAUGAUGGCAGGGGUGCCUCUUGGCACAUUCUUUGGAGCAUGGGGCAUCUUGGCAUAGUGGCGCAGUGCCUUUCAGCACAUGCACAGCAAAUGUCUCGUAACACAUGCACAUGUACCCCGGACUUCUCAGGAGGUCACCCAUCCGGGACUGACCCCACCAAAGCAGGCUUAACUCUGAAGUUCUAAUAGGAUAUGGUGGCAACUCUCUCACUUACGAGGGUUAAAGGGUUUAGGGUUUAGGGUUUUUUAUUUUUAAGCUGAAGAAAAUUCUCACGAUUCCACUUAGCGAGAGAGAGAGAGAGAGAGAGCUGGUCCUUCAAUUCUCUGUGGUGGUUGGGGUUUACUUCUUGGCGUAGGAGAUGGCCAUGGGAUUGUGGGGGUGAUCUUGAAGCCCUGGAGAGACUGCAUGGCGAUGGAGGACUGGACGUCAUCCUCAAAUUCAACAAAGGUGAUACUGGGCUUGGCGUUGAUCAUCCGGACCUCCCUAAAGCUGGGGUACUGCUGGAAGAGGAUCUGGAGCAUCAUGCUUGUUGUCUCAUGAGGCAGGUUCUGGAUGAAGAGGAUGUUGUUCAGGGUGGUGACGGCAUCUUCAGGUUCAGGCUUCCUUGGAAUGCUUGAGAAGCCCCAUUAAUCUCAGCAUGAGGACCGCCGUCGGCAGCUCAGAUUGCUGCACUUCUUUGGCAUUCCGCUUCUUUUCAGCUUUUCUUCUUGCUUCUUCCUUUUCUCCUGUGGAUUAUUUGUGCCUUCCUCCCUAGCAAUGCAAUCUGACUUCAUCUUGGUAUACUGUAUCCUCAUUAGUUUGUCAUAAAAGGAAAGUUCUGCAUCUGGCGAACUGCAGUACUCGCAGCAGUAAGUUCACUGAAUACAACCCAUGCUUGACCUCGGAGUUUCUCUAUUUUCAGGGCAACAACAUCUAAAAUCCUUCCAUACUGCAAGAAUAGCCCAUAAAGGGAUCUUUUGCAAGAACAGUCUAGGGUUUAGGGUUUAUGGCUUUGGGCUUAGGGUUUAGGGUUCAGGGCUUUUUUUUUGGAUAACUGUCUUGGGCCAAACUUCUCAGGAGGUCACCCAUCCCGUACUUCACACGUCCAAGCACUUUGGUGCCUCUCAGGCACAUUCUUUGGAGAUAGAUGCCAUUUGCACUUCUCGACAUCGUGGCUGGGGGCGUCUUUGGUGCCUCUCAGCGCAGCACGAUUAUGCAGCGAUGCCUUUCAGCACAUGCACAGCAAGCAUCUCUGCAACGCAUGCACACAUACCCAGGGACUUCUCAGGAGGUCACCCAUCCAGGGACUGCUCCCACCCGAGCACGUUUAACUUCGGAGUUCUUAUGGGAUCCGGUGGCAACUCUCCCACAAAGGAGGGUUGGGUUUUAGGGUUUAGGGUUUAGGUUUUUAUUUUUAUUUUUAUUGAUAACUGUCUUGGGCUGAACUUCUCAGGAGGUCACCCAUUCUGAUACUUCACACGCCCAAGCACUUUGGUGCCUCUCAGGCACAUUCUUUGGAGAUAGAUGCCACUUGCGCCUCGACAUCGUGGCAGGGGUGCCUCUCGGCACAUUCUUUGGAGCUGGGGCAUCUUGGCAUGGUGAGAUGGAUGCCACAUAUAUGCCUCUCAGCACGUUCUUCGCUGGGGUGUCUUGGCAUAGUGAGAUGGAUGCCACAUAUACCUUUUGGCAUGGUGGCAAGGGUGCCUCUCGGCACGUUCUUCGAUGCUCAAGGUAUCUUGGCAUGGUGAUGGAGGGUUCAUAACACGUGCUGGGCAGCACAAUCAUGCAGCGGUGCCUUGCAGCACAUGCACACCAAGUGUCUCGCAACGCAUGCACACAUACCUGGGGACUUCCCAAGGAGGUCACCCAUCCAAGGAUGGCUCCCACCCGAGUACGCUUAACUCCGGAGUUCUUAUGGGAUCUGGUGGCAACUCUCCCACUAAAGGGUUUAGGGUUUAGGGUUUUUUUAUAUUUGU
rnacentral:rRNA from 1 species